CGGAGAUGCGAUUAUAUCAAGUCAAAGUUUAUUUGAAGUUAGUGGCGAACGAGGUAGUAAUACAUAGGAACUUCCCCCAAAGUCGUGAAUAAUUCGUCGAAAGACGGACUAAUACACGAUGGUCUCGUGAGAGUAAAGCGCAGAUUAAUUUCUGUUGCGCUUUGGGAAAGGCCUAUGCGAUAUCAGCUAGUUGGCAGUGUAAUGGACUACCAAGGCUAUGACGUCUAGGGGAGGUGAGAGCCUGACCCCCACCGAUGGUACUGAGACACGGACCAUACACCUACGGGUGGCUGCAGUCGAGAAUCUUCCACAAUGGACGAAAGUCUGAUGGAGCGACGCCGCGUGAUUGAUGAAGUCCCUUUGGGACGUAAAGAUCUUUUAUGAGGGAAGAAGUUUAUUGACUGUACCUCAUGAAUAAGAGGCUCCUAAUCUCGUGUACGUGUCCGUG
rnacentral:rRNA from 1 species